AUUGAACGCUGGCGGCAUGCCUUACACAUGCAAGUCGAACGGUAACAGGUCUUCGGAUGCUGACGAGUGGCGAACGGGUGAGUAAUGCAUCGGAACGUGCCCGAUCGUGGGGGAUAACGAGGCGAAAGCUUUGCUAAUACCGCAUACGAUCUACGGAUGAAAGCGGGGGAUCUUCGGACCUCGCGCGGACGGAGCGGCCGAUGGCAGAUUAGGUAGUUGGUGGGAUAAAAGCUUACCAAGCCGACGAUCUGUAGCUGGUCUGAGAGGAUGAUCAGCCACACUGGGACUGAGACACGGCCCAGACUCCUACGGGAGGCAGCAGUGGGGAAUUUUGGACAAUGGGCGAAAGUCUGAUCCAGCCAUGCCGCGUGCAGGAUGAAGGCCUUCGGGUUGUAAACUGCUUUUGUACGGAACGAAAAGCCUCUUUCUAAUAAAGAGGGGUCAUGACGGUACCGUAAGAAUAAGCACCGGCUAACUACGUG
rnacentral:rRNA from 1 species